GACGUAGGGGGCAAGCGUUGUUCGGAAUUAUUGGGCGUAAAGGGUGCGUAGGCGGUGCGGUAAGUCUGUUGCGAAAUCUCCGGGCUCAACUCGGAGUCUGCAUCAGAAACUGCCGUGCUGGAGUGUGGGAGAGGUGAGUGGAAUUCCCGGUGUAGCGGUGAAAUGCGUAGAGAUCGGGAGGAACACCUGCGGCGAAAGCGGCUCACUGGACCAUAACUGACGCUGAUGCACGAAAGCUAGGGGAGCAAACAGG
rnacentral:rRNA from 1 species